ACUCAAAUGAAUUGACGGGGACCCGCACAAGCAGCGGAGCAUGUGGUUUAAUUCGAAGCAACGCGAAGAACCUUACCAAGGCUUGACAUCCCCUUGACCGGUGCAGAGAUGUACCCUCCUCUUCGGAGGCAAGGGUGACAGGUGGUGCAUGGUUGUCGUCAGCUCGUGUCGUGAGAUGUUGGGUUAAGUCCCGCAACGAGCGCAACCCUUGUCCUUAGUUGCCAGCAUUUAGGAUGGGCACUCUAAGGAGACUGCCGAUGACAAAUCGGAGGAAGGUGGGGAUGACGUCAAAUCAUCAUGCCCCUUAUGUCUUGGGCUACACACGUGCUACAAUGGUCGGUACAACGGGCAGCUAAAGAGCGAUCUGGAGCGAAUCCCAAUAAACCGAUCCCAGUUCGGAUUGCAGGCUGCAAUUCGCCUGCAUGAAGUCGGAGUUGCUAGUAAUCGCGAAUCAGAACGUCGCGGUGAAUGCGUUCCCGGGUCUUGUACACACCGCCCGU
rnacentral:rRNA from 1 species